CCUUACUCCUACGGGAGGCAGCAGUGGGGAAUAUUGCACAAUGGGCGCAAGCCUGAUGCAGCGACGCCGCGUGAGGGAUGACGGCCUUCGGGUUGUAAACCUCUUUCAGUAGGGAAGAAGCCGCAAGGUGACGGUACCUGCAGAAGAAGCGCCGGCUAACUACGUGCCAGCAGCCGCGGUAAUACGUAGGGCGCAAGCGUUAUCCGGAAUUAUUGGGCGUAAAGAGCUCGUAGGCGGUUUGUCGCGUCUGCCGUGAAAGUCCGGGGCUCAACUCCGGAUCUGCGGUGGGUACGGGCAGACUAGAGUGAUGUAGGGGAGACUGGAAUUCCUGGUGUAGCGGUGAAAUGCGCAGAUAUCAGGAGGAACACCGAUGGCGAAGGCAGGUCUCUGGGCAUUAACUGACGCUGAGGAGCGAAAGCAUGGGGAGCGAACAGGAUUAGAUACCCUGGUAGUCCAUGCCGUAAACGUUGGGCACUAGGUGUGGGGGACAUUCCACGUUUUCCGCGCCGUAGCUAACGCAUUAAGUGCCCCGCCUGGGGAGUACGGCCGCAAGGCUAAAACUCAAAGGAAUUGACGGGGGCCCGCACAAGCGGCGGAGCAUGCGGAUUAAUUCGAUGCAACGCGAAGAACCUUACCAAGGCUUGACAUGAACCGGUAACGCCUGAAACCACGUGCCCCC
rnacentral:rRNA from 1 species